rnacentral:rRNA from 1 species
UACGAAGGGGGCGAGCGUUGUCCGGAAUCAUUGGGCGUAAAGGGCGCGUAGGCGGAUAUUUAAGUCUGGUGUGAAAUUUAGGGGCUCAACCGCUAGAGUGCACCGGAAACUGGAUAUCUUGAGGACAGGAGAGGAAAGCGGAAUUCCACGUGUAGCGGUGAAAUGCGUAGAGAUGUGGAGGAACACCAGUGGCGAAGGCGGCUUUCUGGACUGUAACUGACGCUGAGGCGCGAAAGCGUGGGGAGCAAACAGG